GCAGAGGCUUUAACCCACUGAGCCACCCAGAAGAUUGAUGAUAAGCUAGUAAUCUGCAUAAAAUUUUUAUUUAUAUUACCAUCUACCACUGGGGCCAGAGUGAUAACAUGGACCAUGUGAAACUGAGGGACAAACUUUCUAAAGAAGCAGUAUCAUCUACUCUGAAGAUAUUAGUUAUUUUUUUAAAAGUGUUCCAGAAAAUAAUUAAAGAUGUGCAGUUGCAGAAGGUA